rnacentral:lncRNA from 1 species
AGGGUUAAUAGGCAAAAAAAUCACCGAACUCAUGAUCAAGUUGCAAUUGGGUCACUGAACUCAAAAAGUUUGCAAACGGAUCACAGAACUGGAUUUAACUUGCAGUCAACUCACUGAACUAAUAAAAAUUUGCAUUUAGGUCACUGUGCCGUUAAGUAUCAGUUGACUUUAACGGAAUCCGUUAAUAAAAAUUGAAAAAAUAUAAAAAUUCGCUUUUUUAAAAACUCGAUUUUGAAAAUUUAAAACUUCGAAAAAAUCUGGAAAUUUGGAAAAAGUCUGAAUUUUUUUUAACUUCAGAA